UUCUAAAUAUUAAGAGCACUUUGUUUGAGGAUGAAUCUCCAGUCGUCAGCGUCAGUCCCUCUCACACCCUCACCCUCCAUGGCGUCUUCCAAGAUUCAUGCUCCAAAAAUGAGACCAACACUGGCUGUAUUACUUGUCCAGUGCAGUCAGUACCUAUGAGCAGUUGGUGUUUUUGUCCCAGGCCAAGCUUCCAUUUCAAUUUCAUACAUGUUGUAUUGAAGAAAAAUGUAUUUAGCAUACUGUUUUUUGUAUUGCCCAGCUGAUAUAUCAGGCCUUUUGAUAAGCAAUAUGUGAAUGAAAGUGACAUGUGAAACAUGAACGUGUACAUUAUUCCACGUUGUUACAUGUUUUGAAAUAAAUGCAUCUCAGAAAAUCA